rnacentral:rRNA from 1 species
GGAAGUAAAAAGUCGUAACAAGGUCUCCGUAGGUGAACCUGCGGAGGGAUCAUUACACAAAUAUGAAGGCGGGCUGGAACCUCUCGGGGUUACAGCCUUGCUGAAUUAUUCACCCUUGUCUUUUGCGUACUUCUUGUUUCCUUGGUGGGUUCGCCCACCACUAGGACAAACAUAAACCUUUUGUAAUUGCAAUCAGCGUCAGUAACAAAUUAAUAAUUACAACUUUCAACAACGGAUCUCUUGGUUCUGGCAUCGAUGAAGAACGCAGCGAAAUGCGAUAAGUAGUGUGAAUUGCAGAAUUCAGUGAAUCAUCGAAUCUUUGAACGCACAUUGCGCCCUUUGGUAUUCCAAAGGGCAUGCCUGUUCGAGCGUCAUUUGUACCCUCAAGCUUUGCUUGGUGUUGGGCGUCUUGUCUCUAGCUUUGCUGGAGACUCGCCUUAAAGUAAUUGGCAGCCGGCCUACUGGUUUCGGAGCGCAGCACAAGUCGCACUCUCUAUCAGCAAAGGUCUAGCAUCCAUUAAGCCUUUUUUUCAACUUUUGACCUCGGAUCAGGUAGGGAUACCCGCUGAACUUAAGCAUAUCAAUAAGCGGAGGAA